GACGAACGCUGGCGGCGUGCUUAACACAUGCAAGUCGAACGGAAAGGCCCUGCUUUUGUGGGGUGCUCGAGUGGCGAACGGGUGAGUAACACGUGAGUAACCUGCCCUCGACUUUGGGAUAACUUCAGGAAACUGGGGCUAAUACCGGAUAGGAGCUCCUGCUGCAUGGUGGGGGUUGGAAAGUUUCGGCGGUUGGGGAUGGACUCGCGGCUUAUCAGCUUGUUGGUGGGGUAGUGGCUUACCAAGGCUUUGACGGGUAGCCGGCCUGGGAGGGUGACCGGCCACAUUAGGCCUGAGAUACGGCCCAGACUCCAACGGGAGGCAGCGGUGGGGAAUAUUGCACAAUGGGAGGAAGCCUGAUGCGGCAACGCCGCGUGCGGGAUGACGGCCUUCGGGUUGUAAACCGCUUUCGCCUGAGACGAAGCGUGAGUGACGGUAAUGGGUGAAGAAGCACCGGCUAACUACGUG
rnacentral:rRNA from 1 species